rnacentral:rRNA from 1 species
GUGGGGAAUAUUGGACAAUGGGCGAAAGCCUGAUCCAGCCAUGCCGCGUGUGUGAAGAAGGUCUUCGGAUUGUAAAGCACUUUAAGUUGGGAGGAAGGGCAGUAAGUUAAUACCUUGCUGUUUUGACGUUACCGACAGAAUAAGCACCGGCUAACUACGUGCCAGCAGCCGCGGUAAUACGUAGGGUGCAAGCGUUAAUCGGAAUUACUGGGCGUAAAGCGCGCGUAGGUGGUUUUGUAAGUUGGAGGUGAAAUCCCCGGGCUCAACCUGGGAACUGCCUCCAAAACUACUGAGCUAGAGUACGGUAGAGGGUAGUGGAAUUUCCUGUGUAGCGGUGAAAUGCGUAGAUAUAGGAAGGAACACCAGUGGCGAAGGCGACUACCUGGACUGAUACUGACACUGAGGUGCGAAAGCGUGGGGAGCAAACAGGAUUAGAUACCCUUGUAGUCC